CAUAACACUACGCAAUACCCGCUGAACGUUAGGAGGAAUAAUUUAACUAUUCCAUAUGCAAAGGGUGAUGCAUACCAAUUGCUGAAAGUUGUCGGAAUUACCAUAGCCACACUAUGGUGCUAGGUGUUAUAUUCAACGUGUUUUGCUUUUGUGUCUUAUAAAGACGGAAAUCAGACAAAUUUUCCCUUGGAACAGAAGCAAAAUCUAAAGAAAAUGUACGUGCAUCUGGGACUGAUGAAGAAAACAAAGAUGUUUGUUCGUAUCUAACAAUAAGUGACAGGUCUGCAAGAUCUUAUGCAGAUGUAAACUAUGACGACGUGGAACAAAGCGGAAAGAGUCCUACUGCAUCACUCUGCUGCAUAAAAGGGGAAACUAACAACGAAUGUGACACUGUUAAUAUUUUAGAGGGUGAUUUAAGGGUCAAAUCUGACUGACAAGCACCCAGUGAUUAUGAGGAAAUGAACUUUAAUACAAAAACCUAAACAUUUACUCAUACAAUUUGGGUUAUAUUUAAAUAGUUAAUAUAUAUGUUUUAUUUAUAA